CGAGUGGCGGACGGGUGAGUAAUGUCUGGGAAACUGCCUGAUGGAGGGGGAUAACUACUGGAAACGGUAGCUAAUACCGCAUAACGUCGCAAGACCAAAGAGGGGGACCUUCGGGCCUCUUGCCAUCGGAUGUGCCCAGAUGGGAUUAGCUAGUAGGUGGGGUAACGGCUCACCUAGGCGACGAUCCCUAGCUGGUCUGAGAGGAUGACCGGCCACACUGGAACUGAGACACGGUCCAGACUCCUACGGGAGGCAGCAUG
rnacentral:rRNA from 1 species